UACGAAGGGGGCUAGCGUUGCUCGGAAUCACUGGGCGUAAAGGGUGCGUAGGCGGGUCUUUAAGUCAGGGGGGAAAUCCUGGAGCUCAACUCCAGAACUGCCUUUGAUACUGAAGAUCUUGAGUUCGGGAGAGGGGAGUGGAACUGCGAGUGUAGAGGUGAAAUUCGUAGAUAUUCGCAAGAACACCAGUGGCGAAGGCGGCUCACUGGCCCGAUACUGACGCUGAGGCACGAAAGCGUGGGGAGCAAACAGG
rnacentral:rRNA from 1 species